rnacentral:rRNA from 1 species
ACGAACGCUGGCGGCGUGCUUAACACAUGCAAGUCGAACGGAAAGGCCCUGCUUGCAGGGUACUCGAGUGGCGAACGGGUGAGUAACACGUGGGUGAUCUGCCCUGCACUUCGGGAUAAGCCUGGGAAACUGGGUCUAAUACCGGAUAGGAGCCAUUUUUAGUGUGAUGGUUGGAAAGUUUUUUCGGUGUAGGAUGAGCUCGCGGCCUAUCAGCUUGUUGGUGGGGUAAUGGCCUACCAAGGCGGCGACGGGUAGCCGGCCUGAGAGGGUGGACGGCCACAAUGGGACUGGGGUACGGCCCAGAAUCCUACGGGAGGCAGGAGGGGGGAAAAAUGCACAAUGGGGGGAAGGCUGAUGGAACGAAGGCGCGUGGGGGGUGAAGGCCUUUGGGUUGGAAACUCGUUUCGCCAGGGAAGAAGCUUUUUGUGACGGUACCUAGAUAAGAAGCACCGGCUAACUACGUG